rnacentral:misc_RNA from 1 species
UGCAGAGGAGUUUCUGGAAAUGACUUGAUGCCACACAAGCUCAAUUCACCAUGAUGUAUAUGAUUCUUCUCAUCCCCAUUUUCUUUGUAAUAAGCUACAACUGUUGGAGAAUCUUCAGUGAGGCCAAAUUCAUGAAAAAGACACCUGCGGACGGGGAAUUCAUCUCCAGUUUCCACAUGUACAAAGAGAAGCUUUCCUCUGAAAGCAUUUGCCGCCUCUUUGAAUAUGGAUACAACUUUCCAUGAUCUUUUAGGAGUGAAAAGCCACAACUGUUUCAUUGGAUUCUCAACAAUGUCUAUACCAUCCUCUUCUGUGAAAGUUAUCACUGGAGGAAGCUUAUAUACAGAUACAAAGUUAGCUAUUGCCAAUCUGGUGAAUUGACCUUCAUAACGAAAGUGGCUAUAAUUUCCACACUCUCUUUUCAGCAUGAUCAGAGCAGGGCGUUUGAUUUGAGGGUCAAUGUGGAAAAGCUUAGCUACAUCAGCAUUGCUAGUUUGAUAGAACUUGACAUCUAUAUGCUGUUUUGAGACAGCGGCAAGCUCCUCACUAUGUGGACCCUGUAAAGUGUCUAGGAAUCCCAAAACCAUCGUAGAUUCAGCAGCUAAUAUACGGAUUGCCUCAUCAACUAUAGUCACGUUUUGGACAAUAUUGCUAACCUUCUGAUUAACCCAAUUUGAAAUAGCAUCCCUGGUUCGUUCUCCAUAGUAGGAAUAACCAGCGUUGUGAACUCCACCAACUGAGAGAUACAGAGUUGGAUACCCAUCAAUCUUGAACUUCCUCGCCAACUCUGUUUCUUGAGUAGCAUCUAUUUUUGCAAGAACAGCCUUACCCUUCAACAUGGUAGCAGCCGCAGCAUAUUCCGGUUCCAGCUUCUGACUCCAAUAGCACCAAGGCGCAUAGAAAUCCAUCAUUACAUACUUAUUUCUAUGUCUAUCAACAAAGUCGCUAAAGUUGUUCUUGGUCAACACCACCACAUCCUUUUCAUCAACUGCGGAAGAGAUGCUCUGCAGGAUGAGCUUGCCCGAUCUCUGCCUACGAUGUUGGUCGAUAGAGAUUGAAGAAACAGUUCCAACUUCGGCUUCAUCUGUGCUGUUGCGAGAGAAACCAAGAGCUUUUGCAAGAAUUGGUGAAGAGAAGUGAGAGAAAGGUGUAAAGCAGAAGAGUGUGAAGAGAAAGAAGAUUGAAGUGAAGAGGAGGAUGAGAUUUCUUGUUGUCGACAUUGUUUUCGGAAGAGAUAGAGUUGAGAAGAAGAAUGGGAAGUGAGAGUAAGCAUUAACGGCCUGGGCAGAGCUGUGCGUGG